GGUGAUGGUAACUCACCGUCCUUUGUUGUAGAAGCAGUUGCCACUUUUGCUGGUGGACUUGUAGCUAUAUUGGCUCUUACUUGAUCUUAUCCUUAAAAUCCUAGGGCCAUAGUAUAAGAAUGGGGACUUGCUUGAUGGAAAGCUAGAUGGGAAUGACAAGAAGUUGGUAGAAAAAUUGAAGCAAAAAUAUGAGAAGGGCAGAAGAUUGCUUGAAGACGAAUUACUACAGAACCAAAAGAGUCACAGAAGCACUACUCCCCCUCCUUCAACUGUAUAAUUCAGAAAGUAUAGUAAAUGUGGUACCUAAUGUUUCUAGUGGUCACAAUGAGUUACAUGUACAAAGGAUUUGCACUUCUUUAGCAAGUCUUAAUGAUUUUUCAUCUCAAUAAGGAAGUACCUCAAAGACUCAAAUAGAGUCAAUCAAGCUGGUAAGACCUUCGCAAAGUUGGCCAACAACAUAGAGCUUGGGAAGUUCGGACAUAGUCAAGGCUUAGAUGACAAGGAGCAUUCAAUAGCUAUUAGUUUAGUCUAGUGGAGUUGAGUUUUCUAAGAUAGGACUGUUGAUGCAUCAGGUAUUUUGGA